GCUCCCUACUCUCUGCCAGAGUUUAAGAAGAGGCCUGCAGAUGAGGUGCGUGGCUCUCAGUCCCCGAUGUUAGUGACUGCCAUCAUGGAUCCAGUGGCAUUUGUAAAGGAAAGUUUGACUUAUCAAAAGGUAAAAUGGAAGUGGGAACGGACACCACUGCUCUCAAGACUGCUCUGCAAAAGCUUUCGAUGAGCCAUUGGGAUUCGUAGGGGUGCAGUUCCCAUGACACAGAAGGCCUCUGAAGCUUCCAUGUGAUGCAAAGAACAUUCACACGUUCCUGUCAUGAGAGCACAAGCUGGCUUCCUGCCGCAGCCUCCCCUGAUCCUGUGCUGUCAGUGUUCUAGCUAGUUCCCAUUUCAAGAGAAGGAAACACCCUGCCAUGUGUACACAACUCCAUAAGAUGUGUAUGUAGCUCCUCUCUGCUCUGCAUCCCCACUAUGUGAGCCUAGUGAACUCAGAAGGCCGCGUUAAGCAAUAAAGACACCAGCUUCCAUUUUGGUAUGUA